rnacentral:rRNA from 1 species
CUGAAUAACCGAGCAGAUCGCACAGUCUUUGAACUGGCGACGCAUCUUUCAAGUGUCUGCCUUAUCAACUUUCGAUGGUAGUUUAUGUGACUACCAUGGUUGUAACGGGUAACGGAGAAUCAGGGUUCGACUCCGGAGAGGGAGCCUGAGAAACGGCUACCACAUCCAAGGAAGGCAGCAGGCGCGCAAAUUACCCAUUCUCAGUACGAGGAGGUAGUGACGAAAAAUAACGAGGUGGUUCUCUAUGAGGCCCACUAUCGGAAUGAUGACAAUCCAAAUCCUUUACAAAGGAUCUAGCGGAGGGCAAGUCUGGUGCCAGCAGCCGCGGUAAUUCCAGCUCCGCCAGUGUAUACCUAUGCUGCUGCGGUUAAAAAG